rnacentral:misc_RNA from 1 species
UUAACUAUUUUAUAUGAACUCAGACAGUACAAAAUAGAGAAUUAAGGGUCCUCUGGUGGGCACACACCAGCGCAAGGCCAGUAGUCAAAAGACAGGCCCACCAAAGCAACAGGUAUUAUAAACAAAGGGUGGGAGAUAUACCCUAGCAGGUAUGUUCUCUGUAAUGAUCCUUCCGCAGGUUCACCUACGGAACACAAACUCAUACUCUUUUUCAAGAAUAGGCCGGUCAUAUCUGAAUCUCAAAUUUUGGAAUGAGACCACCUUCGUUUGAUCUGUGCACUGUAGUUAACAGCUGCAUGUUACCUAAAAGACAUCCAAGCACAGUAAAGGUGUCGCCUACAGUUGUAGGCUGAAAUCCAAGGCUUCACAAGUAGGCAUACCAUUUAGCAUAUGUUCUAUAAAA